rnacentral:rRNA from 1 species
AGGAAUCGUGCAGUCUAUCACAUGCAAGUCGAGGGGCAGCAUUUCCAGCUUGCUGGAAGAUGGCGACCGGCGCACGGGUGAGUAACGCGUAUAGAAUCUGCCCUUUACUGGGGAAUAGCCCGAAGAAAUUUGGAUCAAUGCCCCAUGGUCCCUUCUUGUGGAUUCACGAUUAGGGUAAAGGUUACGGUAAAGGAUGACUAUGCGUCCCAUUAGUUAGUUGGUAGGGUAACGGCCUACCAAGACCGCGAUGGGUAGGGGCCCUGAGAGGGGGAUCCCCCACACUGGUACUGAGACACGGACCAGACUCCUACGGGAGGCAGCAGUGAGGAAUAUUGGACAAUGGGCGAGAGCCUGAUCCAGCCAUGCCGCGUGCAGGAAGACGGUCCUAUGGAUUGUAAACUGCUUUUAUACGGGAAGAACCUAGGGCACGUGUGCUCUACUGACGGUACCGUAAGAAUAAGGAUCGGCUAACUCCGUGCCAGCAGCCGCGGUAAUACGGAGGAUCCGAGCGUUAUCCGGAAUCAUUGGGUUUAAAGGGUCCGUAGGCGGGCCAUUAAGUCAGGGGUGAAAGUCUGCGGCUCAACCGUAGAAUUGCCCUUGAUACUGGUGGUCUUGAGUUAUGGUGAAGUAACUAGAAUAUGUGGUGUAGCGGUGAAAUGCAUAGAUAUCACAUAGAAUACCGAUUGCGAAGGCAGGUUACUAACCAUAUACUGACGCUGAUGGACGAAAGCGUGGGGAGCGAACGGGAUUAGAUACCCCGGUAGUCCACGCCGUAAACGAUGGAUACUAGCUGUCCGGCAGCAAUGCUGGGUGGCUAAGCGAAAGUGAUAAGUAUCCCACCUGGGGAGUACGUCCGCAAGGAUGAAACUCAAAGGAAUUGACGGGGGCCCGCACAAGCGGUGGAGCAUGUGGUUUAAUUCGAUGAUACGCGAGGAACCCUUACCAGGCUUAAAUGUAGUCUGACAGCUUUAGAGAUAGAGUUUUCUUCGGACAGAUUACAAGGUGCUGCAUGGUUGUCGUCAGCUCGUGCCGUGAGGUGUCAAGGUAAGUCCUAUAACGAGCGCAACCCCUGCCGUUAGUUGCCAGCAUGUCAUGAUGGGGACUCUACCGGGACUGGCGGUGCAAACCGCCGAGUAGGUGGGGACGACGUCAAAUCAU